UACAUGUUUGUAUAUAUAUAUGUGUGUGUGUGUGUGUAUGCAUAUGUGUGUGUGUAAGUAUACACGUUCACAUGUACAUACACACACAGACACAUCUAAACACCUAAAUACUCAUGUACAUGCAUAAGUACUUGCGUACAUACAUACAUACAUGUGUAUAGGCAUGCACACAUGCAUAUGCAUGUACACAUAUGCAUACGCA
rnacentral:snoRNA from 1 species